UACGGGGGGGGCAAGCGUUGUUCGGAAUUACUGGGCGUAAAGGGCGCGUAGGCGGUUCGCUAAGUUGGAUGUGAAAACUCUGGGCUCAACCCAGAGCCUGCAUCCGAAACUGGAGUGCUAGAGUUCUGGAGGGGGUAGCGGAAUUCCUGGUGUAGCGGUGAAAUGCGUAGAUAUCAGGAGGAACACCGGUGGCGAAGGCGGCUACCUGGACAGAAACUGACGCUGAGGCGCGAAAGCUAGGGGAGCAAACAGG
rnacentral:rRNA from 1 species